GGCUACAAAGGGUACAUGGUGGAUGCCUUGGGACAAGUGGCCGAUGAAGGGCGCGUAAGCGGCGAAACGCCCCGGGGAGCUGCACGAGAGCGUCGAUCCGGGGGUGCCCGAAUGGGGAAACCCGGCGAGGGUAAUGCCUCGUCACCCACGACUGAAUUCAUAGGUCGUGUGGAGGGAACCGGCUGAACUGAAACAUCUCAGUAAGCCGAGGAAAAGAAAUCGAAGAGAUUCCGUAAGUAGCGGCGAGCGAAAGCGGAAUAGCCUAAACCAGAGUUUCGGCUCUGGGGUUGUGGGACCGCGCAUGGCGACAAUACGCUAGAGGAAGGAUCUGGAAAGUUCCGCCGUAGAGGGUGACAGCCCCGUACUCGAAAGCGAACGAUAGCCUGCGGUAUCCCGAGUAGCGCGAAGCACGAGGAAUUUCGCGUGAAUCUGUCCGGACCACCGGAUAAGGCUAAAUACCACUUGUCACCGAUAGCGCAUAGUACCGUGAGGGAAAGGUGAAAAGUACCCCAGGUAGGGGGGUGAAAUAGAUCCUGAAACCGUGUACCUACAAUCAGUCGGAGCACUAUGCACGGAGCAAUCCGUGAAUGUGUGACGGCGUGCCUUUUGCAGAAUGAGCCUGCGAGUUGUUCGUACCGGCAAGGUUAAGCGGUUCAGCCGCGGAGCCGGAGGGAAACCGAGUCUGAAUAGGGCGUCGAGUCGGUACGAGCAGACCCGAAACUGCGUGAUCUAGCCAUGGCCAGGGUGAAGUGAGGGUAACACCUCAUGGAGGCCCGUACCCAUUCACGUUGAAAAGUGUCGGGAUGAGCUGUGGUUAGUACGGUGAAAUGCCAAUCGAACGCAGAGAUAGCUGGUUCUCCCCGAAAUGCAUUUAGGUGCAGCGUUGCGCGUUGUGCUGUGGUGGUAGAGCACUGGAUGGGCUAGGGGCCCUACCAGGUUACUGAACCCAACCAAACUCCGAAUGCCGCAGCAUAAGCGUAGCAGUGAGACGGCGAGUGCUAAGAUCCGUCGUCGAGAGGAAAACAAUCCAGACCUGCAGCUAAGGGCCCUAAAUCACGGCUAAGUGUGAAACGAUGUGAGAUCGCGUAAACAGCCAGGAGGUUGGCUUGGAGGCAGCCACCCUUUAAAAAGUGCGUAACAGCUUACUGGCCGAAUGUGGUCUUGCGCGGACAAUGUAAGGGGGCUCAAGCCGUGUCCCGAAGCUCAGGGUGGCUUCAACUUCGGUUGAAGUCGCGGUAGGGGAGCGUCGUGAUUGCUGUGAAGCUCGAGCGUGAGCACGGGUGGAGCGAUCACGAGUGAGAAUGCAGGCAUGAGUAGCGCUCACAUGGGUGAGAAUCCCAUGCGCCGAAAACCUAAGGUUUCCCAUCUCAUGCUCGUCAGGAUGGGGUUAGGCGAGUCCUAAGGUGAGGCCGGAAGGCGUAGCCGAUGGAUAGACGGUUGAUAUUCCGUCCCCGGUUGAGUUCGACCAAGAGGGACGCUUCCAAAGGUUCCAUCCCACACCGUUGGUUGUUGUGGGCCCGAAAUCGGCGUGGCACGGCGAAAACGUGCGGAAUCGCUGAUUAGGGGGAAGGGAUCGCUUCGGCGUGAACGAACUGGAACUGAUGGGGGCCGCGAAAAGCUCUGACGGUUAUGUUCUCAACCGCUCGUACCGCAAACCGACACAGGUAGGUGAGUCGAGGAGACUAAGGCGUUCGAGAGAACUCUCGCUAAGGAACUAGGCAAACGGGCCCCGUAACUUCGGAAUAAGGGGCGCCUCGGUGAUGAGCCGGGGCCGCAGCUAAGCAUCCCGGGCGACUGUUUACCAAAAACACAGGUCUCUGCUAAGGCGAAAGCCGAUGUAUAGGGGCUGACGCCUGCCCAAUGCUCGUAGGUUAAGGGGAGGUGUUAGGGAGUAAUCCCGAAGCACCGAACUGAAGCCCGAGUGAAUGGCGGCCGUAACUCUAACGGUCCUAAGGUAGCGAAAUUCCUAGUCGGCUAAAUACCGACCCGCAUGAAAGGCGUAACGACUUGGGAACUGUCUCAGCGAGAAGCUCGGUGAAAUUGUAUCACCCGCGAAGAUGCGGGUUCCGCGCAGUAGGACGGAAAGACCCCGUGGAGCUUUACUACACCUUAAGAUUGUGUUUCGGGUUGUCAUGUAGAGCGUAGGUGGGAGCUUCGGCGACAAUGGAACACCACCCUUGGCAAUCUGGAACACUAACCGGUGCCGUGAUCCGGUAUCGGGACCGUCUUAGGCGGGUAGUUUGACUGGGGCGGUCGCCUCCUAAAAGGUAACGGAGGCGUUCAAAGGUGCCCUCAGGCUGGUCGGAAAUCAGCCGUUGAGCGUAAUGGUAUACAGGGCGCUUGACUGUGAGACAUACAGGUCGAGCAGGGACGAAAGUCGGACAUAGUGACCCUCUGGUAGUGCGUGGGCACGCCAGGGUUCACCGGAUAAAAGCUACCCCGGGGAUAACAGGCUGAUCUUGCCCGAGCGCUCACAGCGACGGCAUGGUUUGGCACCUCGAUGUCGGCUCGUCGCAUCCUGGGGCUGAAGUAGGUCCCAAGGGUUAGGCUGUUCGCCUAUUAAAGCGGCACGCGAGCUGGGUUCAGAACGGCGUGAGCCAGUUCGGUCCCUAUCCACUGCGCGCGUAGGAGACUUGAGAGGAGUCGGCCCUAGUACGAGAGGACCGGGCUGAACUGACCUCUGGUGUACCUGUUGUGCCGCCAGGCGCAGACGCAGGGUAGCCACGUCGGGAAGGGAUAAGCGCUGAAAGCAUCUAAGCGCCAAGCCCACCUCAAGAUGAGGUCUCCCACUGGGUAACCAGGUAAGGCCCCCGGAAGACGACCGGGUUGAUAGGCCGCAGUUGUAAGCACGGUAACGUGUUCAGACAAGCGGUACUAAUAGGCCGAGGGCCU
rnacentral:rRNA from 1 species